rnacentral:misc_RNA from 1 species
GUGGAAACAAUUUUUGAUUCAAAUUAUACGAGAGCAAGUUGGAAUUCUAAUUUACAUUAGUCUAUAAAUGAGAUUUCAACUACAAGUUGGAAAAUUUUGGCCUCUCAACCGACUCACUAAAACCUUCCUCACCAAUCUCUACCACAAACACACCCACCACCACAAAACUGAACGACAAAAAGAGCUAUGCAGGGCACAUAUUGAUGCCCCUUCAUCACGGUUCAACAGCUAUCAAAAACCUAAUAUUAAGGGUGAUAUAAGAAGACAAAUAAUAAAAAAGGGAAAAGCAAAUGAAAGAAAAGAAAAUGAAAAAGAAAAAUUAAUGCUGAUGAUUGUUUUACAAAAGCAACAAUUACUUGGCUCAACAUCAGAAAACCUAGUGAAGGGGUACGCUGGCCCAUAUUAUGACUAUUUCCUCAUUACCCUUGGCGGUACUAUACAGUAUCCUCUCCUACCAUCAACUGAAAGCUAUAAUCCGCAUUCACCCACCAUCCCCUGAUUCAUUUCUUUCUAGUACCGCUGUUCUUUCAGCUGCCCAGGACUGAUUUGUGACGUCCAUGAGUCAAAUAGAACAGCCAAGCAAACAUUGUCAAACCAUUUUAACAUGAUUCUGAAAGAUCAUUCACGAUCCAUUUACAGCCAUCUCCGGCGAUGAGGUUUGUGGUAUUAAAAGGCCAUCCUCUCCACCCAACUGUCUGUUUUCUGUUGUGUUGUGCAAGCAAUCACAAGAGUUUCUAGAAGAAGCAGGAGGCCCCUUCUCCUUAUGGUUCUCCUCUCCUGGGUUGCUGCUAUUAUCACAACAGCUUCUAGAAAUAGCAGUUUCCUUCUCUUGAUGAUUGUCUUCACCAAAGCCCUUGUUUGUGUCAGUUGUGCGAGGUGUUUUAUGCACCGAGCUUGCAGCUUUCUUACCGGGUAUCACUGCCUGGCUCAGUGUAGGACACAAAGAUGCAAAUACACUCUCCCUUGAUUUUGAGGGUUUAUCUAAUCGCUCCUUCUUUGCUGGUUCAGCUUCCUUUUCCCUAGAAGUCAAUUUGCGCUUCAACUUAAGGGGCUCCAUAGCUUCUUCAUCUUCUAAGGUUUCCACCUGUUUCUUAGGUGGUAGUCUAUAGUCUUCAUCAUCCUCGUCAUCAUCAUAAUCAACCAGUCCGCCGGAUCUUGAACUUAGUGAUGGAUAGCCUGCUGAUACUCCAUUGGAUAGCACAGACUGAGGCUGAACUCUUUUGGCAUGUGAUGCGGAUGCUGUAUCUUCUUCAUCACUGUUCUCGUUGAAGUAUUCCUCCUCCUCUUUUUCUAGAGCACGCUCAUCAUUUCGUUUUCGUGGAUCCAGUGUGCUGCCAGUAUUUUUUAUUGCACAACUCUCUAGGCACUGCUCAUAUUUAACUUUAAAAGACUGAAUGGAAGCCAAAUGCUCAAAUUUGACCAACUCAUUCCAAAAUGAACCAACUAUAUACUUGAUCAAUAAUUUCAGGUUUUCCUUGCGGAUAUACUCAAAAAGCUCUAAAACAGCAGAGUGCAGCAGAUUGUAACGGUGGCCAUUGCCAACAAAGGCAUCUAUAAUCGGUUUGAGAACGUUGCGCUUGACAAAAUGAUUUAUCAGAUGCUCAUCAUGGCGAGAAAGAAUAUUGCGAACAAAUCGAACAGCAGCAACAACAAGAUAUUUUUCCCUUCUUCGAGUUAGAGUCAUAACUUUAUCUAUAACAUUAUUAAGGAGAAAGUUACACUUUAUUCUAUAAGGAUGGUGCAAAACACAGAAGCAUAGCAAUUCACAAAUGUUUGAGAGUAUUUCUGGCUUCACGCUAUUUUGAUUUUCAUCUCUUCCACCAAAGCCUGAAGAUUUACCACUUGAUUGAGAAAUGCCUUCAACUGGACAUGAUGCUGUUAUAACAUCAAUUAAUUGGCCCAAAUGAUUCUCAUAGAAGAUCUCAAUAAUAUUAUCUCUCAAGAAAAACCAAAUCAAUGAAAUCCACAAAAUAACAGCCAGUAGAAAAGCACCCCAUCUUUCCCAGCAUUUUGCUUACAGACAAUAAUUCAAAUCUGUCACAUAACCACAAAAAUUAAAUUCAUAAAAAAUUCAGUAAUUAAUUGGCAUGCGUUAGAGCCUCUGUUGCUAUUAUUUCUGUCAUUCUUGUCUUACUAAAUGCAGCGCUAUUGCCAAUAGAUUAAAAUUUUAAUUCCUCAAAUCAUAGGUGGACAUUUUAACUCCCCUUGAUUAUCAUAUGAUUUCAGGGUUCCUAGCAAGACUUCCCAUACACAAAGAUUAACUUAGGCUUGAAAAUCAAGAUAAGCAUCAAGCCAAGACAGCUUGCAUUCUAACACAUAAUACAUAUUUAUAUCACGCUUUUAAAUAACAGCUGUCAUAUAAUGUAACAGCCAUCAAAUACAGAUUUUUGAAGGGGGUCAUUAUAAUUACCCACAUUAAAUAACGGCAAAAAAAAAUAGCAUUGGUAAUGGACGUAAGUUAUGUCUGCUACAUUAACGGCUGUUAUUGGCUAACAAGUAAUGGGUAACAGCCAUUACUCACUUGAGCACAAAGCCUUUUUUAUUUUGGAGCAAGGAGGCAAACAGCCUGUUUUCUUUCUUAUUUCAAUACUUCCCCUUCUUUUCCCUCACACUUCCAUCUCAAAUUUUCCAUCUUCUACAAAUCUUCUUUUCUUCGGUUAAGAUCAUCCAUUAGUAAAGAUUUAUUUGAAGUGAAGGAGAGCAAAUCUACACUUGUACAUUCAAAUUUUUGCAAAGAGUGAAAAAUAUAUACUUUUUUUUUGGUGUUUUUGCUCAUUUGAUGA